UCCCCACGCCAGGAAUCGAUCCCCGAGCCUUCGGGGUGAAAGCUAGAUUUCCUAGCCACUAGACCACGUGGGA